AGCUUUGCGCAGUGGCAGUAUCGUAGCCAAUAAGGUUUAUCCGAGGCGCGAUUAUUGCUAAUUGAGAAUGACUCCAUUUUUGUGAAACCAAACGACAAAAUCUCUGUAUGUGUGUAUGCGGGUUGGUUUAUUUCACA